CACGUAGGCACCAAGCGUUGUCCGGAUUUAUUGGGCGUAAAGAGCUCGUAGGCGGUUCGGUAAGUCGGGUGUGAAAACUCUGGGCUCAACCCAGAGCCGCCACCCGAUACUGCUGUGACUUGAGUUCGGUAGGGGAGCGGGGAAUUCCUGGUGUAGCGGUGAAAUGCGCAGAUAUCAGGAAGAACACCCGUGGCGAAGGCGGUUCUCUGGGACGGUACUGACGCUGAGACGCGAAAGCGUGGGGAGCGAACAGG
rnacentral:rRNA from 1 species